UGCGUAGGUGGUUCAGCAAGUUGGAGGUGAAAUCCCCGGGCUCAACCUGGGAACUGCCUCCAAAACUACUGAGCUAGAGUACGGUAGAGGGUAGUGGAAUUUCCUGUGUAGCGGUGAAAUGCGUAGAUAUAGGAAGGAACACCAGUGGCGAAGGCGACUACCUGAACUGAUACUGACACUGAGGUGCGAAAGCGUGGGGAGCAAACA
rnacentral:rRNA from 1 species